rnacentral:rRNA from 1 species
AGUAACGCGUAGGUAACCUACCUCAUAGCGGGGGAUAACUAUUGGAAACGAUAGCUAAUACCGCAUAAGAGAGACUAACGCAUGUUAGUAAUUUAAAAAGGGCAAUUGCUCCACUAUGAGAUGGACCUGCGUUGUAUUAGCUAGUUGGUGAGGUAAAGGCUCACCAAGGCGACGAUACAUAGCCGACCUGAGAGGGUGAUCGGCCACACUGGGACUGAGACACGGCCCAG